CACGCAGGUGGUCGUGUGCGUGGGGUGUGAAAGCUCUCGGCUUAACUGAGAGAGGCCACCUCAUACGGCACGGCUCGAGCCCUGCAGAGGUCCACGGAAUUGCCGGUGUAGUGGUGAAAUGCGUAGAGAUCGGCAGGAACACCCAGGGGGAAACCAGUGGACUGGGCAGGCGCUGACACUGAGGUGCGAAAGCGUGGGGAGCGAACC
rnacentral:rRNA from 1 species